rnacentral:rRNA from 1 species
GAUGAACGCUGGCGGCGUGGAUAAGGCAUGCAAGUCGUACGGGUCACCUUCGGGUGACUAGUGGCGAACGGGUUAGUAACACGUGGGUAACGAACUCUAGAGAUGGGCAUAAUCCGUCGAAAGGCGGACUAAUUCCCAAAGUCCUCCUGCCAUAAUUUGGUGGGAGGUAAAGGAGAAAUCCGCUCUGGAAUCGGCCCGCGGCCUAUCAGCUAGUUGGCAGGGUAAUGGCCUACCAAGGCGAUGACGGGUAGGGGAUGUGAGAGCAUGUUCCCCAACACUAGCACUGCGACACGGGCUAGACUCCUACGGGAGGCAGCAGUCGAGAAUAUUGGACAAUGGGGGAAACCCUGAUCCAGCGACGCCGCGUGCUCGAAGAAGCCCUUCGGGGUGUAAAGAGCCUUUCUGGGGGAAGAAGUUUCGAUUGACAGUACUCCAGGAAUAAGGGGGUGCUAAUCACGUGCCAGCAGCCGCGGUAAUACGUGACCCCCGAGCGUUAUCCGGAUUUAUUGGGCGUAAAGCGUCUGUAGACGAUUUGGAAAGUCUUUGGUUAAAUACCAAGAGCUUAACUUUUGGGCUGCCAGAGAUACUUCCAGAAUAGAGGGCGUUAGAGGCUGAUGGAACGGUCGGUGUAGAGGUGAAAUUCGUUGAUAUCGACCGGAACACCGAAAGCGAAGGCAUUCAGCUGGGGCGACCCUGACGUUGAGAGACGAAAGCGUGGGGAGCAAAAAGGAUUAGAUACCCUUGUAGUCCACGCUGUAAACGAUGGACACUGGCUAUUUGAAGUGUCGACCCUUCAAGUGGCGAAGCUAACGCGUUAAGUGUCCCGCCUGGGAAGACGGCGGCAACGCU